UAAUACAUGCAAGUCGAGCGAACAGAUAAGGAGCUUGCUCCUUUGAAGUUAGCGGCGGACGGGUGAGUAACACGUGGGUAACCUACCUAUAAGACUGGAAUAACUUCGGGAAACCGGAGCUAAUGCCGGAUAACAUUUGGAACCGCAUGGUUCUAAAGUAAAAGAUGGUUUUGCUAUCACUUAUAGAUGGACCCGCGCCGUAUUAGCUAGUUGGUAAGGUAACGGCUUACCAAGGCAACGAUACGUAGCCGACCUGAGAGGGUGAUCGGCCACACUGGAACUGAGACACGGUCCAGACUCCUACGGGAGGCAGCAGUAGGGAAUCUUCCGCAAUGGACGAAAGUCUGACGGAGCAACGCCGCGUGAGUGAUGAAGGUUUUCGGAUCGUAAAACUCUGUUAUUAGGG
rnacentral:rRNA from 1 species